AAAACCAAUGCGGGCAACCGCUUUUCUGGUGAUUCAUAGUAACUUAACGAAUCGCAUAGCCUUGUGCUGGCGAUGGUUCAUUCAAAUUUCUGCCCUAUCAACUUUCGAUGGUAGGAUAUAGGCCUACCAUGGUUUCAACGGGUAACGGGGAAUUAGGGUUCUAUUCCGGAGAGGGAGCCUGAGAAACGGCUACCACAUCCAAGGAAGGCAGCAGGCGCGCAAAUUACCCAAUCCCGACACGGGGAGGUAGUGACAAUAAAUACUGAUACAGGGGGCUUCUGUCUCUUGUAAUUGGAAUGAGUACAAUUUAAAUCUCUUAACGAGGAACAAUUGGAGGGCAAGUCUGGUGCCAGCAGCCGCGGUAAUUCCAGCUCCAAUAGCGUAUAUUAAGUUGUUGCAGUUAAAAAGCUCGUAGUUGAACCUUGGGCCUGGCCGGCCGGUCUGCCUCACCGCAUGCACUGGUUUGGCCGGGCCUUUCCUUCUGGCUAACCGCAUGCCCUUUACUGGGUGUGUUGGGGAACCAGGACUUUUAC
rnacentral:rRNA from 1 species